AACUGGAUGAGAAAAAUGUCAGGGACGCAAGACACCCACCUGGGUUCUAGUGACAGCAUCAAAGACAAAGAAAUGACACUCCAGGAAAGAAGCUUAACUAAUGGCUCUUGUCCUAGCUGACACCCCUAGAGGUUGUGUCCUUCUUAGGCAAGAGGAUCGAACCAGGCCUAUGAAGACCCCAAAGCCUGAGAAUCCUGGCUCCUGACGACCUCCAGGCCACUGUGUCUUCGGGUCUGGACUGCAGAAGGGUUCUGUUCUACUCUCGGAACUCGAAGAUCCUGGCCUCACCGUCCCUUCCCUAGCCCGAGCUCGGGGUGUGCAGAGACCCGCGAAAACCCGGCAGGUCUCCGGCGCGCUCGCCCGGGAGCAGGAUCAGAACGCGCGUGCGCGCCGGGAGCCCCGCCCCCGCCCUUCAACCGCGCGGCGGGAAAGUAGCCGCUCACUGCUCCGCUGCUCGCCGCCCCGCCGUCCCACCACCUCAGGGACGCCCGUUGUCGGUCCUGGGUCCUCCGGACACACUCACCCGCUCUCCGCGAGUCCUCUGAAGCCUCGCAGAGCCUGAGGCCCUGAGGUGCGGGGUCGCANNNNNNNNNNNNNNNNNNNNNCCCGCCACUCGGCUGAGAGCGACCAGUCUGCGCCUGCGCGGGCGGGGGCGGGGCGGGGCGGGGCGGGGCGGGCAGAGCCACUUGACUCUGGACGAGAGAGGGAGGAUUGGAUAAAGAAGGGAAACCCAAAAGGACUGUUUUAUGUGAGUCGGGCAUCUGCGUUAAAGUAAAAACCAAAACGCUAUGGGUUUUCUACUGAAUUAUAAUAAGAAUCAAGAUCGAAUUAAGGGAGAAUUUACAGACGUACUUCCCCUUCCAGUCCAGUGGACUAUUCCAAAGUCUUAAAUGGCUAGUUAGAAAAGAUGUGUUUUAUUUGGGAGGAAGUGGAGAGUUUGAUGUUUGGGGUGGAGUUUUGGGUUGUCUGUCUUCUUACAGGCAUAUGUUUUAAAGCUGGCAAGGUAUAUACAGGAAGCUCAGAAUAGAAAGAUCUGAAAUAAAUAUUCCUUGUUCGUUCAGGGUCACCUGCGCCCCUGUUGAGACGAUGCUGUUUUACGAACAAAUACAAGAUAGGGCUCCAAAAGAAAAAAAAAAAAAAUCAUCUCUGAAUUAAGCGUUUAGAUUGAGGAGAUCGAUAUCUGGGUCAUGAGGGAGAGUUAGCAGAAAGGAUAGCCGAGAGAAAAGUGAAAAGACAUACAAAAAUAAAAGACUAUGGAGCUAGUGAUAAAAGUACAGAGAUGCCAUUUGCAAAGUUCAGUUUGCUCUAAAUGAAUCUUCCCCCACCCACUCACCCCACCCCCGUCUUGCCCCUCAACUCCUGUAAAUUUGCUUCAGACACCAGAUUUCCUGUUUUAGCCUCAGAGAGCAAUUCUGGGCUUCAGCACCUUCUGUCUGGGGCUAUUAGGCAGGGCCUUUUAAACUUGCCUAACCCCUGUUUCUAUUGGAAGGUCCGUGGCUCAAGGCUUCUGAACACACAGCCCAGCCGGUGGAUGUAGGCAGGCUUAUGUGGCUUUACAGAACAACUCAAGGCCCGUGUUUACUUUUCUCUGGGAUGAGCAUCCAUGAGAUCCGUAGCCUAUAGUCUCCCAUUAACUCCCUCAAAACUUAGGUACACUUGUGUGGUGAUCUGGAAAUAAAAUCUUGGAUUCCUCUCCCACCAGACCUCCUAACCCCUGGAAUGCCUUCCCUCCUCCUUUCUUUCUGCUGUCUGCUUCCUGAGAGGAACGACACCCCACCCACCCCCGUGACCCUUCAAAAAUCAAGGUGCAUAUACUUGAAUGGAAGCAGGGUAAAGGCCAGAAACUCGGGUUCCCUGUGCUCACCAAACUGGGGUGGGAAAUGACAUACAUGUUGACACCUCUUUCCCCUCCCCUAGCUUCUGUGCCCGCAAACUCAGACACGGCCACACGCACCCACAUUCAUAUGAACAGUCGUGCACACACGGCGAGGGUAGCUGGAGCGGGGAGGAAGGGAAGUUUGCACUAACCAGUCGUGAAUGCAACUUGAAAGAUUUCACACAGCAAAAGGGGGAAAAAAAUGAAAAACGUAAGUUAAAAAAUAAAGAAGUACAUGACCCUC
ensembl:lincRNA Gm26847 predicted gene, 26847